GCGGGAGUGGCGGAAUAGGCAGACGCGCGGGAUUUAGGUUCCCGUGCCUUCGGGCGUAGGGGUUCAAGUCCCCUCUUCCGCACCA
rnacentral:tRNA from 1 species